rnacentral:rRNA from 1 species
AUUGAACGCUGGCGGCAUGCUUUACACAUGCAAGUCGAACGGUAACAGGCCGCAAGGUGCUGACGAGUGGCGCACGGGUGAGUAAUGCAUCGGAACGUGCCCAGUCGUGGGGGAUAACUACUCGAAAGGGUAGCUAAUACCGCAUACGAUCUAUGGAUGAAAGCGGGGGACCGUAAGGCCUCGCGCGAUUGGAGCGGCCGAUGUCAGAUUAGGUAGUUGGUGGGGUAAAGGCUCACCAAGCCAACGAUCUGUAGCUGGUCUGAGAGGACGACCAGCCACACUGGGACUGAGACACGGCCCAGACUCCUACGGGAGGCAGCAGUGGGGAAUUUUGGACAAUGGGCGCAAGCCUGAUCCAGCAAUGCCACGUGCAGGAAGAAGGCCUUCGGGUUGUAAACUGCUUUUGUACGGAACGAAACGGCUCUGGUUAAUACCCGGGGCUAAUGACGGUACCGUAAGAAUAAGCACCGGCUAACUACGUG